UUGAGAGAAAGAAGUAGACAGGUUCAUAAAUAGACAAAAUUAAUUUAUAGUAAAUUAGUUUAUGGAGAGUGUUGUAGUCAACUCGGGCUGCUAGAACAGAAUGCUAUGGAUUGAGUGGUUUAUAAACAACAGAAAUGUAUUCCUCACAGUUCUGGAGGCUGGCAGUCUGAGAUCAGGAUGCCAGCGUUGUGGAAUUCUGGCGAGGAUCCUCUGCCUGGUUCUCAAACCCUCUCCACUUAUAAGGGCUCUGAUCCCAACCUGAGGGCUCCGCCCUCAUGACCUAGUGGAGCCCUAAUCACCUUCCAAAGGCCCCACCUCCAGAUACCAUCCCCCUGGGGAGUAGAGUUUCAACACAUGAAAUUUGGGAGGACACAAACAUUCAGUCCACGACAACGAGACGAGUCAGGAGAGGAGGAGCGAGGACUGAGGGAGCUUGCAGGAGCAUUCUAAUCCACAGUCAACAGAUAAAAUGAGGAAGAGGCGCCCUGAGCUCCUGACGUUCUUCACAUCCCACUUGGCCCCCAGAUUCCUCCACGGGGCCCCUUCUGUGGAAGACCUUCCAGCGCCAGUGCUUGCCAACUAUCUAUAAAGCUGUGUGGGAUGAAGACGUGGUUCGAGACAACAGUAGCCCCAGAAACCAGGAUUUACUAGGAGAAUUCUAAGUAAGACAUACUUUCAGAGGAAGAACUGAAGAGCCACAGCGGGAACUGGGACAUCUCCAAGGAUCUUGGGAUUUAGGGACAACUCAGGCCACCAGGUGACUCGGCUCCAGUCACCUUCCAACUCUGGGUAUCGCGGCUCAACAUUCAAAUUUCUAGAGAGUCUGAUUGGCCUAGCUUCCGUCUGGUGCCCACCACCACGAUUGGGGUGAUUGGGGCCUCUGAGAGCCUUCUAGAACCACAUGGAGAGGGAGGGGCAGGAAAACAUUAUGUCCGCUAAGGUAGCGGCUAUGUCUUGUACACCUCACACUGCCUGACGCAGCAGGCGCUCAAGUUUUGUAGAGAAAAAGAACGUACGAAUGCAUGAACCUGCCUCCAAGAGGUCACGUCAUCUGCCCCAUCCAUGCCAGGCUUGUCCCAGGAUUCUAUUCUUCCAGAGACUGUGCACGGCCUUUCUCACGACCUGUCCCCCUGAGCAGGGGUAGGGUGUUGGACCCACUGGGUUAGCAGGGUCACGGGGCCUGGAGGGCAGGUCAGACGCAGAUCCACCAACCACCAGGAUAUGAAGACCAAGUCUUAGAUGCAAGAUCAACCCAGAGGAGCAGUACGAAUGUGUACUCCGCCAGAUUCUGCGCUCUGAGAUGCUCUCAGUAGUGGGUUUCCUGAGCACGAGUAGAUCUAUGAUCGCUGACUUUGCCUGCAACCUUCCAGCAAGAUGGCUCAUGCAAGCUUGGAGGGCAUGGGACCUCAGAAGUCACCUAGUGCCACCCCUUACUUUUUCAGAGCGGGGAACUGAGAUCUGGGGAGGUGUGGUGUUUUGCUCAAGAUCACAGCGUAUUCACAACAGGUCUCUUUGACCACAUGCUGUUCAGCGCUCUUUCUACCGUGCACUAGUGCCCUCUGUGCUGGCGGUGGGAUGCUGGGGACCCUGACCUUGAGCUUUUCCUUAGUGAUCUAGAUGUUAACUGACUUAUUCCCUCUGGGGGCCACUUUAUUCCACUCCUGUUUGGGGGUCAGUUGGCUGCAGACCCAGUCUAGGAUGGUUUUGGCUGGGACAACUGGGCUCUCCUCCACAAUGUCUCUUGUGAUCCAGCAGACCAUCCUGGGUUUGUCCUCAUGGUGGAGGAAGGGGUUAAGAGGGACAGCAGAAGCACUCGGGCCUCUGUUACAUUCUAAUGGCCAAAGCCAAUCAUAAGACCAGCUCAGAUUCAAGAGGCAGGGAAAUAGAUCCUACCUCUUAAUUGGAGGAGUCGUGUAUAUUUGCAAAACUCAUUGCAAAGUAUUAUUCAAAAUCACCAAAAAGUGGAAGCAACCCAAAUGUCUACCAUCUGACAAAUGAAUAGACAAAAUGCAGUAUUUCCAUCCAGUGUAAUAUUAUUGGCCACAAAAAGGAAUGGAGCACAGAUAUAUGCUACAACAUGUAUGAAUCUUGAAAACAUUAUGGUAAAUAAAACCAAGACACAAAAGAUGACAUAUUGUACAAUUCCACUUAUAUGUAAAGUCCAGAAUCUAUAGGGAUCCGUAGGCAAAACCAUAGGGACAGAAAGUAGAUUAGUGGUUUCCAGGGCCUGGGGAGAGGUGAGGACGGGGUUUCUUUUUAGGGGUGAUGAAAAUGUUCCAAAAUUAGUGGUGAUGGGUGCAUAAAUCUGUGAAUACGCUAGCAAUCACCGAAUUGAAUAAUUUAAAAGGUUGAAGUUUAUGUUAUAUGAAUUAUAUUUUAAUAAAGCUAUUACUUAAAAAGUAAACAAGUGAAAAAAAAACUUAUUGCAAAAUAAAUCUACCAAAAUAAGAAAACGUCUUUUUGGAAAGUGUAAAUCAAGGCAAUAAAAUUUUGAAACUUCAUCUCAUAUAUAGAAAUAUCUUGAUAAUUUACCUAGAAGUGAAAUUUAAGAUUUUAAAGAUAUUUAAUGGUUUUUGUUGUCCUCAUGGAACAAUAGUUGAAGUAACAUAUUGAGCUUUAUUGCUGGCGCUCAAGAAAAAUGAUCCCGCUGAGAAUUUACAAGCAAACACUGCUGAUUUUGUAUAGUGUUUUGCUAGCGUAUCUGCGUGUUGCUAGUGAGAAAGUCUAAGUUCUGGCCAAACUUUAGAAGAUUUUCUGCGUGUUUUAGUUUGAUACUUAGUGGGUAUAUUAAAUUUUCUGUGAAUGAUGCAAUAAAAGAUGUAACUCAAAUCACUUAAAAUCUCUUCUUGAAAAAGCAUUCUACUUACUAUCACAUCAAAUAAACGUCAGAGAAAAUUCGUGUAUCUUACAGAGAACCUAAAAAUGGAAAAUUAGAAGAAUAUUUGCAUCUCAAUGGGUGAGCUCUGAGGCACUAGAGCUGCAAAGGUAGUUUGACAAUUGAAUUGAGUCUUCAAUAUUAUCUUUAAUAGAAAUUAUAAAAUAGGAGUGGUUGACAUUUGGAAAAAGAAAACACUUAAACAGCUUUGGGUUUAAUAAAUGAUAUUCCAGCCAAGAUGUCAGGACUUUCUUUCGUUCUACAAGAAGCGUGUCGGCUAUUGAAGCUGAUAAAAUAAUAGAAGCGAUUGGAUGUAUAAAACAGAUAACAGGGAAAAGGAGCAGAAGGCAUUAGAAAAACAAAGAAAUAUGAUAUGCCUUCUGAAACAACAAAGUGGCAAUUCCUAGGUAAAAACUACUAAAUUGUCUAAGAUGUUACGUGAGAACAUAUUUGCUGUUUUAUGAUAAAAAUAAAUAAAUAUAGUAAACUUUGAUGUCUUUUAUUUAAUCCUGAAACUUGACCAAUUGAUAUUUGCAAAGCUCCAUUGAUUUUAACUAAACCGAAAGUUAUAGGGGCCAGCCCAGUUGCAUAGUGGUUAAGUUUGCACUCUCUACCUUGGUAGC